AAGAAAGUGACAGAGUGGUGAUGUGAUUGACUUGAAAUCAAUAUACGGGGGUUCAAUUCCUUCCUUCCUUG
rnacentral:tRNA from 1 species